CUUCAGCGAGCCGAGCCACAGCGGCUGGUCCGCCGGACGGCCCUGGCCGUAGGUGGCCAGCAGCGCCUGCGCCUC
rnacentral:antisense_RNA from 15 species